UAGAUUCGUCUCGCGAUUUACAACCCAUCUAUGCAAAAAGUUUUGCAAAUAGACUUCAUUUAGUACUUCAAAUGCCCUGUUUACAUCUUUACACAUUUUUGCAAAAUGAACUAAACACACCCUUAGUAGCACAAUGGAACCAGAUAGUAAAAAGAGUUUCAAGCUUUCUAAAGUCUUCACUGCUCCACCACUAAGAUUUGCACCAAAAUUAGAACAAAUGAGCAGGGAUUACACCUCUUUAGAUGAGAUUCAAGAAGAACCCAAGGUAAUCUCUUCAACUAAAUGUGUUUUCUCUGAUAAGAUUUCUUCCCAAAAUGUAGCAACUUUUAUUUUUGCAACCUAUAGAUUUGGCUUUGUUUUAACCAUAUAUAGCACUUGCACAAUAGGUGGACCUGUUAAAGAAUAUCACUCUUUCCGGUGAUAAAACACAAUGCAAAAGCAAUGCAACUGAACCUAGCUAUCCAUCCACUGCCAAAAAAAACAGAGCUUGGUUCCUAUGUCCAACAAAGAAAAGGGAAAAGAGAUCAGCUUGUAUUAAAACCAACUGCUCCAGCUCCUGAUGAACUCACAAUUGCUUUAGACAGUGGUAGAAAAUUUAAGAAACCAAAACUUGAGCUGUCAGUAUCUCUUUUAGGGUCUGCACUGAACUUUGUUACUUCAGUAGAUAUUGAAAAAUGCCUAGAGAAACCACUUAAAUUAGUAAAUGUAGUCUUUUGGGCCUCAAUUAUUUCUUUUCUAUGGACAAGGCUAAUUUACCUAUUCAACCUCAUUUGCCCAAGCAAAGCUACAUACAUAUCACAAUGCAUUGACUACCCUGUUAAUGCAAUAACCACCUAUAUUCCCAACUCUCUACAAAAAAUCAAGAUCUUCCUCAUAUCUGUGUAUCUAGACGUGUACUACCAUUGCAUCGGGCACUUUGAUAUGGAUUUUUGUAUUCUGGUGGUUCUUGCCAUCUACUGAAGGAUCAUUCCAAGUUAGAUUUAGAAAUUCAAUUUUAGUACACCUAGUCGCAUUUGCAAUCGUCCAUUCUGCAAAAGCGAUUUGACAUGGCUGCUUCAAACUUGAAGAUAUCCUUGUGACUCUCUGGUUUAAAAUGACGAACUAUACUCCUAGAGAAGAACCUGCAGGUGUUUCAGCAUCACAGGGCAAUGAGAGUUCACAAAUUGUGGUUCAUACUCAAUCUUAAGACAUAUUUUUCAGGUGCAAAUUACCUUUAUGCUACAAGAACAACCUUUUGAAGUUGGCCAAUACGACUUAACCCACUAAUGUUCAGGAAUUGGGAGCUGAUCAGCUAGAGCUCUACUACAUCGUUGCAGUCAUUCACCUUAUGGGUACAGGAGCUGCAACGUGUACACAUCCACCAAGUCAUACUCAUUAGAUCUACUUAUUAAGUCAUUAUGCUGCUGCUAAGACUACUGUUUAGAUUAUCUAUUCAAUGAACGUUGUGCGCUGUUCUAAUUGAACGCAUUCUUGUGAAAACAGUGCUAGAUAUGCACCAGUCACCUAUUUCGAUGUACUAAGAAACAGAUUAAUAUUUAAUGCCUCCGUCCAAACUGUCCUAUGCUGA